AAGGGAUGAGAACACCCACCUCGCCAAUAUCACCAUCACCUCGCCAAAAUCACCACCACCUCGCCAAAUUCACUAUCACCUCGCCAAAAUCACCAUCACCUCGCCAAAAUCACUCCCACCUCGCUAAAUUUGCCAUCACCUCGCCAAAUUAUCUGCCACCUCGUCAAACUGACCUCACCUCAUCACCUCGUCAAACUGACCUCACCUCAUCACCUCGUCAAGCUGAUCUCACCUCGUCACCUCAUCAAGCUCACCUCACUUUGUCACCUCGUCAAGCUGAUCUCACUUUGUCACCUCGUCAAGCUCACCUCACCUCGUCACCUCGCCAAACUCACCUCACCUCGCCACCUCGUCAAACUCACCUCGCCACCUCGUCAAACUCACCUCGCCAUCUCGUCAAACUCACCUCACCAUGUCUUAAACUUUGUUCUUAUUUUGUUGUCGAUCUAAGCUUAAUUUAACAGAAAAUCUCCGAACUCUCCAACAUAAGUUGACUUGUUUGACCCGUGCGAAUCCACGUUCAACAAAUGGCGCGCCAGGUAGGGGGGGGCAAGAAGAUUUUCUACACCCCAAAGCAGCUCGGCAAUGUUAAGAACCCAGCUGACCUCGCCAAAGGAAACCAUGCAUAGUUGAGCUAACCUCGUAGCUCAUCGACAUCAAACAAAGGAACUCACUUAUAAACAAGAUAAGUGUUGAGCUAGUUUCAUUUUUUACUCUCUUUUCUUAAAGCCGAGCUCAUCUCGCCAGUUCGUAGUUACAACGUAACUCGCUGAAAUACCUCGACAUCAUUGACAUCGACAUCCUAGCUAGAUGCGCGAUCCGUAAGAAACGCAUUCCCAAUAGUGCAAUUUCUUAUAAGUCCUAAGGAACAAAAACCUUAUGACUAUACGAAAGUAAGCCGGGUCCAGUCCCGCAUAAUCUCUUAGAUCGCACGAGUAAAAAAAACGCCGAACACAUCUUCGCUACUCGGAUACGAUCUAAGAAGCUAACAGGUGGACCGAGCUAAUAUUCGCACCUACAGCAUACUAAACCGAGUCCUUACUCGUAAACAAAAUAGGAUAAGCCGAGGUCUUACCUCGCACCUACAGAUCUAAUAAGCCGAGUUCCCACUUCACAUUUAUUUCAGUCUGUAUCUAUAUGUUCGAUUAACCAAGUUCAAACUCGCAUUAUAUUACUCGUUAAUCUUGCAGCUAUAUAGCUCGUUGACCUCGCAGCUUUGCGGCUCCUCGUCUAUACGACCUCGCAGCUCGUCAACCUCGCAGCUUGUCGACCUUGCAGCUCGUCGACCUCGCAGUUCAUCGACCACACAGAUUUGCGGUUCCUCGUCUAUUCGACUUUGAGCUCUUCAACCUCGCAGCUCGUCUAUCUUGCAGCUCGUCAACCUCGUAGUUUCUCGAUCUUGCAGCUCAUCAACUUCGCAGCUCGUCGACCUCGCAGCUCGUCGACCUCGCAGCUCGUCGACCUCGCAGCUCGUCGACCUCGCAGCUCGUCGACCUCGCAGCUCGUCGACCUCGCAGCUCGUCGACCUCGCAGCUCGUCGACCUCGCAGCUCGUCGACCUCACAGCUUGUCGACCUCGCAGUUCUUCGCAUAUCUUGCAGUUCGCCGAACUCGAGCAACUCUCUUUCAACAAACUGGGGGGGGGGGAGGGUUUAGCAUCCCCUAUUUAGCCCAACAGGCCCAUCAAAAUCCACCAGCAUUACAAUUUUGGCCCAUUAGCAAGGUCCACAAAAUCAACCCACCGUCAUCACGUCACCUACUCGCUCACUAUAAAUAGAAGAGAAGAGGAGACCAAAAAAGGAGAUCUCGGAAGGGAGAAGAGAAAUAGCUCGCCAAGGGAUGAGAACACCCACCUCGCCAAAAUCACCAUCACCUCGCCAAAAUCACCAUCACCUCGCCAAAUUCACCAUCACCUCGCCAAAAUCACUAUUACCUCGCCAAAAUAACUCCCAC
rnacentral:lncRNA from 1 species